rnacentral:rRNA from 1 species
CCUACGGGUGGCAGCAGUGAGGAAUAUUGGUCAAUGGGCGCAAGCCUGAACCAGCCAAGUAGCGUGAGGGAAGACUGCCCUAUGGGUUGUAAACUUCUUUUAUGCAGGAAUAAAGUGAUGCACGUGUGGCUGUUUGCAGGUACUUCAUGAAUAAGGACCGGCUAAUUCCGUGCCAGCAGCCGCGGUAAUACGGAGGGUCCGGGCGUUAUCCGGAUUUAUUGGGUUUAAGGGGAGCGUAGGGGGGUUGUUAAGUGUGUGGUGAAAGUGUGUGGCUCAACCGUGAGAGUGCGGUGGUGACUGGCGGCCGUGAGUGCAGGGGAGGUAGGCGGAAUUCGUGGUGUAGCGGUGAAAUGCUUAGAUAUCACGAAGAACCCCGAUUGCGAAGGCAGCCUACUAAACUGUCACUGACACUGAUGCUCGAAAGUGUGGGUAUCAAACAGGAUUAGAUACCCGAGUAGUC